GUUUGACUAGUGACCGUUUCUAUCAAUGUCAGUUAACUUUAAUCUUAACUCAUUCUUUGUCUUUUUCUAAAGGACUCUUAAGUUAAGAUUAAAGUUAAGCGACGUUGAUAGAAACAUAAGCUUGUUUUUUCAUUUCUCAAAAGAGCAAUGUCGUCAUUGAAAUUCAAAUGUGGAUAUUGUAACUGGCUUGUUUGGAGCGAUGAAGAUGGAAAAAUUACACAUAGCUGCUUUGCAAACUGUGAAGAAAUAGUAAUGGACAAAGAUCGAAAUCUCUUUAGAAAUGAACCGUAACAUUCUUACAAAAAUCAUGUAAGGAGCCACAAGCUUCCAGUUCAAAUAGCAACCCACAUAGCAAAAG